GAACCCCUACACACACUGCAAUCCCCACACACUGAACACACACACUGCACCCCUCACUGUAGUCUGUGUGUGUGUGUGUAUUCACCAGUCUGUGCACGUUGACCAGUCUGUGCGCGUGUAAUCACCAAUCUGUGUGUAUAUUCCGCAGUCUCUAUAUGUGUGUAUUCAGCAGCCAGUGUAUAUAUUCAGCAGUCUGUGUGUGUUUUUUGCGGUUUGUGUGUAUUUAGCAGUCUGUCUCUGUGUGUAAGUAUU